UGGGGAAUAUUGCACAAUGGGGGGAACCCUGAUGCAGCAAUGCCGCGUGGGUGAAGAAGUACUCCGGUAUGUAAAGCCCUAUCAGCAGGGAAGAAAAUGACGGUACCUGACUAAGAAGCCCCGGCUAACUACGUGCCAGCAGCCGCGGUAAUACGUAGGGGGCGAGCGUUAUCCGGAUUUACUGGGUGUAAAGGGAGCGCAGGCGGUGUGGCAAGUCAGAUGUGAAAACCCGGGGCCCAACCCCGGGAGUGCAUUUGAAACUGCCAUACUGGAGUGCUGGAGAGGCAAGUGGAAUUCCUAGUGUAGCGGUGAAAUGCGUAGAUAUUAGGAGGAACACCAGUGGCGAAGGCGGCUUGCUGGACAGUAACUGACGCUGAGGCUCGAAAGCGUGGGGAGCAAACAGG
rnacentral:rRNA from 1 species